GAUGAACGCUGGCGGCGUGCCUAAUACAUGCAAGUCGAGCGAACAGACGAGGAGCUUGCUCCUCUGACGUUAGCGGCGGACGGGUGAGUAACACGUGGAUAACCUACCUAUAAGACUGGGAUAACUUCGGGAAACCGGAGCUAAUACCGGAUAAUAUAUUGAACCGCAUGGUUCAAUAGUGAAAGACGGUUUUGCUGUCACUUAUAGAUGGAUCCGCGCCGCAUUAGCUAUUUGGUAAGGUAACGGCUUACCAAGGCAACGAUGCGUAGCCGACCUGAGAGGGUGAUCGGCCACACUGGAACUGAGACACGGUCCAGACUCCUACGGGAGGCAGCAGUAGGGAAUCUUCCGCAAUGGGCGAAAGCCUGACGGAGCAACGCCGCGUGAGUGAUGAAGGUCUGCGGAUCGUAAAACUCUGUUAUUAGGGAAGAACAAAUGUGUAAGUAACUAUGCACGUCUUGACGGUACCUAAACAGAAAGCCACGGCUAACUACGUG
rnacentral:rRNA from 1 species